rnacentral:lncRNA from 1 species
AACUAACAUGACCAAAAAGGAAACCAAUAAAUGUGGGAGGGGAUGUGGAAAAAAAGAUGCACUAAGGCACUGUUGGUAGAGUUGUGAACUUGUCUAGCCAUUCUGAAGAAUAAUUUGGAACUAUGCCUAGAGGGUUCUGAGUAUAGAAGAACAAGUAGGCCAGCGAGGCUGGAUUGUAGAGUGAUACUUUAGGUUGUACAAAGGUAUGGAGAGGAAGAUGAUGAAAUGUCAAGUGGGGUGCUGGUUGAUACUUCAACCUUCAUCGAAGGUACUCUCUGAAGGAAAUAAGCAUUUAUUAAGCAUCUACUAUAUGCCAGAUGCUGUGCCAGGUACUUCACAAAUAUUAUCUCAUCCGAUUCUCACAAUGACUCUGGGAGGUAAGUGCUAUUAUUAUUAUUAUUAUUUUUAUUUUUAAACCCUUACUUUCCUUGGAGUCAAUACUGUAUAUUGGCUCCAAGGCAGAAGAGUGGUAAGGGCUAGGCAAUGGGGGUCAAAUCACACAGCUGGGAAGUGUCUGAGGUCAGAUUUGAACCUAGGACCUCCCAUAUCUAGGCCUAGCUCUCAAUCCACUGAGCUACCCAGCUGCCCCCAUGGUAAGUGCUAUUAUUAUCCCUUUCUAACAGUUGAAGAAACUAAAGCAGAUAGCAAUUACAUGACUAGCCACAUAGGUGGUGUCUGAAGCUAGAUUUGAAUUCAGGUCUUUCAUACUCAAAGCCCAGCACUAUUCACUGUGACCCCUCCCUAUUCUGUGUAGAUAUACAAAUUUAUCUAUCUGUUUGGCUGUCGCCAUCUUUCUGUCUCUCUAUCUAUCUUCUUGUCUGUCUGUCUGUCUAUCUAUCUAUCUAUCCAUCCAUCUAUCUAUCACCUAUCUGUGUCUGUGUCUGCCUGUCUAUCUAUCUAAUCUAUCUAUUACUAUCUAUUUAAUCUAUCCAUCCAUCCAUCCAUCCAUCCAUCCAUCCAUCUAUCUAUCUAUCUAUCUAACUACCUAUGUCUGUCAGUCUGUCUAUCUAUCUAGCUACAGUUUUCUUCAUAGCUUCAUCCUUUUGUUAAGAUCCUUUUGACUGGGUUUGAUAAAUACCAUCUUACCAUAUUUUGUCAGGUCCAUCUCUGGUCAAGACCUGCCAUUCCUUUAUUUUAUUUAUGUGGUUCAGAAAUUCUAACCCCAUUCUCAGACACCAUCUUCUCAGUCCACUGUUCAUUUUUUAAAUCCAUUUUUCUCCUCUGAUCCCCUUACCUUCGGUGAGCAAUGGUGGGGAAAGUACAAUGUCAGAAUCCGUU